rnacentral:rRNA from 1 species
GACGAUCGCUGGCGGCGUGCCUAAUACAUGCAAGUAGAACGCUGAAGGAGGGGCUUGCUUCUCUGGAUGAGUUGCGAACGGGUGAGUAACGCGUAGGUAACCUGCCUGGUAGCGGGGGAUAACUAUUGGAAACGAUAGCUAAUACCGCAUAAGAGUAGAUGUUGCAUGACAUUUGCUUAAAAGGUGCAAUUGCAUCACUACCAGAUGGACCUGCGUUGUAUUAGCUAGUUGGUGAGGUAACGGCUCACCAAGGCAACGAUACAUAGCCGACCGGAGAGGGUGAUCGGCCACACUGGGACUGAGACACGGCCCAGACUCCUACGGGAGGCAGCAGUAGGGAAUCUUCGGCAAUGGACGGAAGUCUGACCGAGCAACGCCGCGUGAGUGAAGAAGGUUGUCGGAUCGUAAAGCUCUGUUGUAAGAGAAGAACGAGUGUGAGAGUGGAAAGUUCACACUGUGACGGUAUCUUACCAGAAAGGGACGGCUAACUACGUG